rnacentral:rRNA from 1 species
UGGGGAAUAUUGGACAAUGGGCGCAAGCCUGAUCCAGCCAUGCCGCGUGUGUGAAGAAGGCCUUUUGGUUGUAAAGCACUUUAAGCGAGGAGGAGGCUACUUGGAUUAAUACUCUAGGAUAGUGGACGCUACUCGCAGAAUAAGCACCGGCUAACUCUGUGCCAGCAGCCGCUGUAAUACAGAGGGUGCGAGCGUUAAUCGGAUUUACUGGGCGUAAAGCGUGCGUAGGCGGCUUCUUAAGUCGGAUGUGAAAUCCCUGAGCUUAACUUAGGAAUUGCAUUCGAUACUGGGAAGAUGGAGUAUGGGGGAGGAUGGUAGAAUUCCAGGUGUAGCGGUGAAGUGCGUAGAGAUCUGGAGGAAUACCGAUGGCGAAGGCAGCCAUCUGGCCUAAUACUGACGCUGAGGUACGAAAGCAUGGGGAGCAAACAGG